UAGGGAAUAUUGCACAAUGGAGGAAACUCUGAUGCAGCGACGCCGCGUGAGUGAUGAAGGCCUUCGGGUCGUAAAGCUCUGUCGUAUGGGACUAACAAAAUGAAGGUACCAUGCAAGAAAGGAUCGGCUAACUUCGUGCCAGCAGCCGCGGUAAGACGAGGGAUCCUAGCGUUGUUCGGAAUUAUUGGGCGUAAAGCGGGUGUAGGCGGUCUUAUAAGUCAGGUGUGAAAUCCCAGGGCUCAACCCUGGAAGUGCACUUGAUACUGUAAGACUUGAGUGUGGUAGAGGCUAUUAGAAUUCCUGGUGUAGUGGUGAAAUACGUAGAUAUCAGGAGGAAUACCGGAGGCGAAGGCGGAUAGCUGGGCCAACACUGACGCUGAGACCCGAAAGCGUGGGGAUCAAACA
rnacentral:rRNA from 1 species